CUAAGGGGCCACGCCGCCCUGAACACGCCCGAUCCCGUCUGACCUCGGAAGCUCAGCAGGGUCGGGCCUGGUGAGUACUUGGACGGGAGCGCGCCUAGGAAUACCAGGUGUUGUAGGC
rnacentral:rRNA from 1 species